rnacentral:misc_RNA from 1 species
UUUAACGUUUAUGAACUAAACAAGCUCAGACAGAUACCACAUAAUGAUGGAGUUUAUGAUUACCUCCCGUGGGUCCACCGUGAAAGGAGGUCGCAAGCGCAAGGCCUACUACCCACGGAAGCAACAAGAACAAGUACACUGCGGGUGUUUAAGAAUAUGAAAUCCUAAUGUUUUUUUAAUGAUCCUUCCGCAGGUUCACCUACGGAAA